AUUGAACGCUGGCGGCAUGCCUUACACAUGCAAGUCGAACGGUAACAGGCCGCAAGGUGCUGACGAGUGGCGAACGGGUGAGUAAUGCAUCGGAACGUGCCCAGUCGUGGGGGAUAACUGCUCGAAAGAGCAGCUACUACCGCAUACGACCUGAGGGUGAAAGCGGGGGACCGUAAGGCCUCGCGCGAUUGGAGCGGCCGCUGUCAGAGUAGGUAGUUGGUGGGGUAAAGGCCUACCCAGCCGACGAUCGGUAGUUGGUCUGAGAGGACGACCGACGACGCUGGGACGGAGACACGGCCCAGACUCCUAGGGGAGGCGGCAGUGGGGAAGUUUGGACAAUGGAGGCAACCCUGAUCCAGCAGUGCCGGGUGCAGGAAGAAGGACUUCGGGGUGUAAACUGCUUUUGUCAGGGAAGAAAUCCUGUGGGUUAAUACCUCGUGGGGAUGACGGUACCCUAUGAAUAAGCCACGGCUAACUCUGUGCCAGCCGCCGCAGUAACAC
rnacentral:rRNA from 1 species